rnacentral:lncRNA from 1 species
CUCUCUCUCUCUCUGUUCAAGCUAUAUUUUAUUUGAGGACCUUUACCCGGCUCUCUGAAACCCAAGGAGAAGAAAAACAAGGCUAACGUGAGCUUAGGGGAGCAGAGAAUCCCCACUCUUGCCCUUUUGUAUCUUGGUCUUCCACAGAGAGACGGAGAUAUUCCUUGGAGCAGCUGGUCUGCCCUAAUUUUCUCCUCGGUCCUUCCAGACACAGCACAAACACAGACAGACUGAACUCGGAUUAGACGGAGAAUCAAGCUCCGUUCUGCUCUCUGAAUUUCCGAGGAGUUCUUCGCGGCCGAGAAUUCCUCUCCCUCUUCCUCCGUUGCAUGCAGAAUCCUCGAGGAGCCGAAGAAAGCGAAUGAACUGCCGCUCUCCGACUGGAUUAGCUUGUGGAGAGCAGCUGGACAAAUACUUGACGGAUAAUACCAGCGGAGAGAUCAGGCUUUAUUGGAAGGAACGAGGAUCUGACUGCAAUGGCCGUGAAAACCCUUGAACUCCGAAUGAAACGGGAUAAUAUUGCUCCUUCUUGUGAAAACCAGUCUCUUCUCCUCCACGAGUGCUUGAGACGUAGGCAGAGGGAGAGAGAGAGAGAAGGAGACGAAGAAGAUUGUUAGAGGUGUCAGAAACGCUGCCUGCGACUGCCCUUCGACCCGCAGGCGGCGACCCACAAGGAUCUCCCCGUGGGGAAAUGAGCUGGAAGCUCCAGCUUCGAGCUCUAUGACGAGAGUGGACCAGGAGGGCUUCAACGAAGACGGAAGAGCAGGCAGAUCGUCUGCGGCGCGGGGAGAUUCGAGCGAAAUCAGAUCGACAGAAGAGAGAGCGGCGGCAGGAGGAAGGAGUUCGGACGAACCGGCGGCGGAUGCGAGGCCCUGCAACAGCAACAGUGAGGAGCCCGAGCGAGCCGGAGAUUUUCUCCCUUCUUACGGACAAAGAAGAGGGCGGAGAGGGAUUUAGAGAGUGUGCCAUACAAAUAAAGCUGGGGCCGUUCGCUUUGCUUGCACUAUCAGGAAUCAGGAAUCGAGCUUACGCCACACAGUAGAGAGAGAAAGAGGAGAGAGAGAGAGAGAGCAGCAUGUCAGAACACGAGAGGGGGUAGGAGAAGGC